CCGAAGAAGUGCAUCGGAAACUGGGAAACUUGAGUGCAGAAGAGGACAGUGGAACUCCAUGUGUAGCGGUGAAAUGCGUAGAUAUAUGGAAGAACACCAGUGGCGAAGGCGGCUGUCUGGUCUGUAACUGACGCUGAGGCUCGAAAGUAUGGGUAGCAAACAGGAUUAGAUACCCUGGUAGUCCAUACCGUAAACGAUGAAUGCUAAGUGUUGGAGGGUUUCCGCCCUUCAGUGCUGCAGCUAACGCAUUAAGCAUUCCGCCUGGGGAGUACGGCCGCAAGGCUGAAACUCAAAGGAAUUGACGGGGGCCCGCACAAGCGGUGGAGCAUGUGGUUUAAUUCGAAGCUACGCGAAGAACCUUACCAGGUCUUGACAUACUAUGCAAAUCUAAGAGAUUAGACGUUCCCUUCGGGGACAUGGAUACAGGUGGUGCAUGGUUGUCGUCAGCUCGUGUCGUGAGAUGUUGGGUUAAGUCCCGCAACGAGCGCAACCCUUAUUAUCAGUUGCCAGCAUUAAGUUGGGCACUCUGGUGAGACUGCCGGUGACAAACCGGAGGAAGGUGGGGAUGACGUCAAAUCAUCAUGCCCCUUAUGACCUGGGCUACACACGUGCUACAAUGGAUGGUACAACGAGUUGCGAACUCGCGAGAGUAAGCUAAUCUCUUAAAGCCAUUCUCAGUUCGGAUUGUAGGCUGCAACUCGCCUACAUGAAGUCGGAAUCGCUAGUAAUCGCGGAUCAGCAUGCCGCGGUGAAUACGUUCCCGGGCCUUGUACACACCGCCCGUCACACCAUGAGAGUUUGUAACACCCAAAGUCGGUGGGGUAACCUUUUAGGAACCAGCCGCCU
rnacentral:rRNA from 2 species